rnacentral:rRNA from 1 species
CCAAUAGCGUAUAUUAAAGUUGUUGCAGUUAAAAAGCUCGUAGUUGAAUUUUAGGCCUGGCCGGGCGGUCCGUCUUUGGCGAGUACUGUCCUGUGUCGGGUCUUCCUUCUGGUAAACCAGUAUGUCCUUUAUUGGGUGUGCCGGGGAGCCAGGACCAUUACCUUGAAAAAAUUAGAGUGUUUAAAGCGGGCUUUUGCUUGAAUAGAUUAGCAUGGAAUAAUAGAAUAGGACGUUGUGGUUCUAUUUUGUUGGUUUCUAGGACCACCGUAAUGAUUAAUAGGGAUAGUUGGGGGCAUUAGUAUUCAAUUGUCAGAGGUGAAAUUCUUGGAUUUAUUGAAGACUAACUAUUGCGAAAGCAUUUGCCAAGGAUGUUUUCAUUAAUCAAGAACGAAAGUUAGGGGAUCGAAGACGAUCAGAUACCGUCGUAGUCUUAACCAUAAACUAUGCCGACUAGGAAUCGGGCGACGUUAUUUUCAUGACUCGCUCGGCGCCUUAUG